rnacentral:rRNA from 1 species
CGCUUCAGCUUGCUGAAGCAAGUAAAGUGGCGCACGGGUGAGUAACGCGUGGGUAAUCUACCCUUGAAUUGGGGAUAACCCGCCGAAAGGCGGGCUAAUACCGAAUGACAUCUUGAAAACGUAUGUUUUCAGGAUCAAAGAUGGCCUCUACAUGUAAGCUAUUGUUUGAGGAUGAGCCCGCGUACCAUUAGCUUGUUGGUAGGGUAAUGGCCUACCAAGGCUACGAUGGUUAGCUGGUCUGAGAGGAUGAUCAGCCACACUGGAACUGACACACGGUCCAGACUCCUACGGGAGGCAGCAGUGAGGAAUUUUGCGCAAUGGGGGAAACCCUGACGCAGCAACGCCGCGUGAGUGAUGAAGGCUUUCGGGUCGUAAAGCUCUGUCAAGUGGGAAGAAAUCAUAUAGAAUUAAUACUGCUAUAUAUUGACGGUACCACUGAAGGAAGCACCGGCUAACUCCGUGCCAGCAGCCGCGGUAAUACGGGGGGUGCGAGCGUUAUUCGGAAUUACUGGGCGUAAAGAGCGCGUAGGCGGUCUUUUAAGUCAGGUGUGAAAGCCCGGGGCUCAACCCCGGAAGUGCACUUGAAACUAAGAGACUUGAGUAUGGGAGAGGGAAGUGGAAUUCCUGGUGUAGCGGUGAAAUGCGUAGAUAUCAGGAGGAACAUCGGUGGCGAAGGCGACUUCCUGGACCAAUACUGACGCUGAGGCGCGAAGGCGUGGGGAGCAAACAGGAUUAGAUACCCUGGUAGUCCACGCAGUAAACGGUGAACACUAGGUGUAGCGGGUAUUGACCCCUGCUGUGCCGCAGCAAACGCA